GGUUAAGCGACUAAGCGUACACGGUGGAUGCCCUGGCAGUCAGAGGCGAUGAAGGACGUGCUAAUCUGCGAAAAGCGUCGGUAAGGUGAUAUGAACCGUUAUAGCCGGCGAUGUCCGAAUGGGGAAACCCAGUGCAAUUCGUUGCACUAUCGUUUGAUGAAUACAUAGUCAAACGAGGCGAACCGGGGGAACUGAAACAUCUAAGUACCCCGAGGAAAAGAAAUCAACCGAGAUUCCCCCAGUAGCGGCGAGCGAACGGGGAGCAGCCCGGAGUCUGAAUCAGCUUGUGUGUUAGUGGAAGCGUCUGGAAAGUCGCAGGGUACAGGGUGAUACUCCCGUACACUAAAGCACACAGGCUGUGAACUCGAAGAGUAGGGCGGGACACGUGGUAUCCUGUCUGAAUAUGGGGGGACCAUCCUCCAAGGCUAAAUACU
rnacentral:rRNA from 1 species